UGAGGAGGUGGCCAUUUAGAGAAUUUGAAGUCUUUCCGGGCCUUUUUGUAAAUUGUGAAACUUCUUGGGGUUCCUUGUGAUUUUGGAAAAUAUGGUUGAAAGAAGGAAGAGAAGGAAUCAGGGAGAAAUCCGACUAGAUCGUACAGAGAGCUAUGGUGCAUCUUCCUAAGGGGAUGAUAGUCCCGUGGACUGGUACAUGGGGCAGACGCUUCAUAGGACCUGGGAUCACAUAUGCAACUCUGUAUGGGGUACAUGGGUGACUCAUUUAUUUAUUCAUUUGUGCAUUAUUUAUUAUUUAUUUAUUUUAUUUUAUAUUUUAUAAUUUAUUUUAUUUUUAUUUUAGAGGCACAAUGAGGGAGUACCUUCUGCAUUGGCCAGAUAUGGGCAUCCAAAUUUGGUCCGAGAUUGGUACCAAGUGCUCCCUUAUAAGGUUAAGGGACAUGUAGAUUCAACUUACCUGAGUCGAUUGGCCUCACUGGAGACCAAGAAGUUUAGCCCGGCAUUGGCGGGAGCUUUGAUGGAGUGGUGGUGGCCAAGUGCUCAUUCCUUUCAUUUUCCCACCGGCGAGAUUACCACCACACCCCUGUGCUUCUACGCUUUCACGAGCGUACCAUUUGGGGGAGGCCCCUAUCCCUUCCUAAGAGUAUAAUAGCACAGGAUUUCACAAAUUUGACGGGUAUUGAAAUCUGGGAGGAUCAGAUGCAUGUCCAUUUAGGUGUGAUCAGUGCCCGUUGGAUGAGAAUGGAUCUGAGGGUGAAUCUAGGUAACCUUGCGCAGAUAACCCACUCCUUCCUUCUGUUUACUAUGUUAUAGUGUCUCUUUAGUGACCUCGGAGGUGGAGUGGACAUUCACAUGGUUGCCCUCUUCCAAAACCUUUUGGAGAUAGACUCUUGGGAUUUAGGUGGAGCCACCUAUGCAUACCUUCUGCGAACCUUGGACCUACUAUCAUAUGGGGAUCGGGGCCUCAAGGGGGCACGCUAUAUUCUCCAAUGGCUUCACAUUUUUUUUUUGUCCUUUUUUUUUAUUGAUUGCACCUCCUUAUUUUGAUCUUUCAAUUCAGCCUUGGUGUUAUGAACACCUAGAGAUUAUGGCCCCCUUAUUGAAGGAUCCUUAAAGCUCACCCUUCCCUAUAGCUACAAGAUGGGGAGAUAGUUGGGUAUUGAGGAACCGACGCCAUCCUCUCGGGACCACCGCUCGUUCUCUCUUGAAUAGUCUCAUAGAGGUAAGUUAUGUUUAGUAUCGAAUUUCCUUUUGCCUUGUGUUGUACUUACCUCUUCUUGACUUUGCAGGUUAAUUGAAGACCAUUUCGGCACCUUAGAUUUCCUAAACCUAAAGAAGUUGCUCAGGCCAAAUAACUGACAGAGAACAGUGUCCUGUUCAGGGGUAUCUAAGGCCAUGCUUGGUAUUUAGGAGAGCGCGUCACACCCCAGUGGUCCGAUCCUGCUAUGUGCUCCCCUCCUUGUUUUCCUCCAUCUACUAUGCAUAAUCUGGAGCGUUUCCCUAUGGGUCAGGUUGAGAGAUUGGCUGAAGGAGUAUGGGAUGACUCUUUUUUAGAUUACGACAGGGAUUAUGGGGCCUUCCUUGAGGAGGAAAUGGUCUGCGCUCCUUUCGAUCCUAGAGGUCCAUUGUGGAGACACAGCAUGUGGACCCCCUUCUCACUCAGUCACAAGUUGGUGUUGCUGCCUCAUCCAAAGCUAAGUCUUCUAUUGUGGUGAGCGGAUCUCUCAGGAUGGCUACCAUUCCUUUCUAUGGUUUCCAAGGUUGGUCCUAUCCCAAUGCAACCCAUCCCGGUAUCCCUUAGCUCCUAGAGCAUCGACUGGACAGAGAUGCUUCUAUUGGACUACCACUUCCGUAUGAAUAUUAUCUGCGGAGGUCUAUACCGAGAUCAGGAGAAUGCACCAGAGUCUAUGUGAGGUGGUGGUUGACAAGGAAGGGGAGAUCAACUUCAUAAGGAGACAAGUCGGCUCUUAUCGAUAAGAGAAUACCCGGUAGUAGACGUAGAUUGAGGAUCUCACGUGGAGACUGGAGAGUUCGGGAUUAACAUCUACUAGUUCUUAGACUUUCCCUGAUAAUGUCGAGCAUUGUUCAGUUGAGGAUUUUGACUCCUAGGGAUUUGUUCCUACAGUUCCUUUAAAUACAAACAUAUGUAUAUCUUCCCUCCCCA